rnacentral:rRNA from 1 species
AUUGAACGCUGGCGGCAGGCUUAACACAUGCAAGUCGAGCGGGGGAAGGUAGCUUGCUACCGGACCCAGCGGCGGACGGGUGAGUAAUGCUUAGGAAUCUGCCUAUUAGUGGGGGACAACAUCUCGAAAGGGAUGCUAAUACCGCAUACGUCCUACGGGAGAAAGCAGGGGAUCUUCGGACCUUGCGCUAAUAGAUGAGCCUAAGUCGGAUUAGCUAGUUGGUGGGGUAAAGGCCUACCAAAGCGACGAUCUGUAGCGGGUCUGAGAGGAUGAUCCGCCACACUGGGACUGAGACACGGCCCAGACUCCUACGGGAGGCAGCAGUGGGGAAUAUUGGACAAUGGGGGGAACCCUGAUCCAGCCAUGCCGCGUGUGUGAAGAAGGCCUUAUGGUUGUAAAGCACCUUAAGCGAGGAGGAGGCUACUCUAGUUAAUACCUAGGGAUAGUGGACGUUACUCGCAGAAUAAGCACCGGCUAACUCUGUGCCAGCAGCCGCCGUAA